ACGUAGGGCGCAAGCGUUGUCCGGAAUUAUUGGGCGUAAAGAGCUCGUAGGUCGUUUGUUACGUCGGAUGUGAAAACCUGAGGCUCAACCUCAGGCCUGCAUUCGAUACGGGCAAACUAGAGUUUGGUAGGGGAGACUGGAAUUCCUGGUGCAGCGGUGGAAUGCGCAGAUAUCAGGAGGAACACCAAUGGCGAAGGCAGGUCUCUGGGCCAUUACUGACACUGAGGAGCGAAAGCGUGGGGAGCGAACAGGAUUAGAUACCCUGGUAGUCCACGCCGUAAACGGUGGGCACUAGUUGUGGGAACCUUCCACGGUUUCUGCGACGCAGCUAACGCAUUAAGUGCCCCGCCUGGGGAGUACGAUCGCAAGAUUA
rnacentral:rRNA from 1 species